AGAGUUUGAUCCUGGCUCAGGACGAACGCUGGCGGUGUGCUUCACACAUGCAAGUCGAGCGAGAGACUUUCGUGUAGCAAUACAUGGAGGAAUCUAGCGGCGGACGGGUGAGUAACACGUAGGAAUCUGCCUUGAAAUGGGGGAUAGCAGGCCGAAAGGCCUAUUAAUACCGCAUACGCGGGCAUCCCGACAGGGAUGUUCGUAAAAGGAGCAAUCCGUUUCAAGAUGAGCCUGCGCCCGAUUAGCUAGUUGGUAGGGUAAAAGCCUACCAAGGCGAUGAUCGGUAGGUGGUCUGAGAGGAUGAUCACCCACAAUGGGACUGAGACACGGCCCAUACUCCUACGGGAGGCAGCAGUGGGGAAUUUUACGCAAUGGGGGAAACCCUGACGUAGCGACACCGCGUGAGCGAAGAAGCCCUUUGGGGUGUAAAGCUCUGUCAGCUGGGACGAAAAAAAUGACGGUACCAGCAGAGGAAGCAUCGGCUAACUACGUGCCAGCAGCCGCGGUAAGACGUAGGAUGCGAGCGUUGUCCGGAUUUAUUGGGCGUAAAGAGUUCGUAGGUGGUUUGUUAAGUCUGGUGUUAAAGAUCGGGGCUCAACCUCGGGACUGCAUUGGAUACUGGCAGACUGGAGUAUGGUAGAGGUCAGUGGAAUUCCCAGUGUAGCGGUGAAAUGCGUAGAUAUUGGGAAGAACACCGGUGGCGUAAGCGACUGACUGGGCCAUAACUGACGCUGAGGAACGAAAGCCAGGGGAGCGAAUGGGAUUAGAUACCCCAGUAGUCC
rnacentral:rRNA from 1 species